UGCCUGAGCAAAAGAGGUGAGCUGAGGCUACUUAGCCAACCUUCAUUUUUUUCAUUCCCCCUCCCAUUUUCUAACUUGUGAAACUUUUCCUUUGCAGCUCUGUAAAUGUUACUCUAAUGUAAUUUGUGCCUAACAUAUAUAUUAUAGAUAAGUCUAUCUAAUAAGCUGUUGGAAAUAAUAUAUGUAGAUUUUUCUAUUUUAUAUUCUUUUCUGUAAGUCAGCAGAGUAGAAUUCAUUAACUUGAUAUGGAUCUUUUUCAGUCUUUUCAGUAAGCAUUCGCCAAAGAAUGGACUUAGGAGUGUAUUUAUAUGAACAAUUAAGAACAUCAACUUAGCAACUAUACCACCUUCAGCCCUGCAAAGUCUUCACACUGGUGUUGUUGGUGAGUUUCAUAAGGCAGAAAGAGCACCAUUUACUUUAGGCUAAAAUCAGCUCAAGUGAAGACAACCCAUACAAGUCCUGA
rnacentral:lncRNA from 1 species